GAAGUGCGAUAAGCAAUGCGAAUUGCAGAACCGUGAGUCAUCAGAUUUUUGAACGCAACUGGCGCCGGUUGGCUCUCCAACCGGCAUGCUUGUUUCAGUGUCUCUUUAUCUCAUCACCCAUAUCAUAAUGCGAGAGAUACCCUUCUCUUGCUAAGCUCGAAAGCACUCUGCGCUCUGCGAGCGGCUUCGACUUGUUCGAGGGUCGCACUCAAUGCAGCCGUCACAUUGCUCACAAUGUGAACUCGUUGAGAGCUGAGGCAGUGUAGCGUAAGCUACCAGUGCUUAGUCACACAAACUUUACUUGCAUCUGAAAUCAAGCAGGAUCACCCGCUGAACUUAAGC
rnacentral:misc_RNA from 1 species